UGAGGAAUAUUGCGCAAUGGGCGAAAGCCUGACGCAGCAACGCCGCGUGGGGGACGAAGGCCUUCGGGUCGUAAACCUCUUUUCCAGGGGACGAGCAAGGACGGUACCUUGGGAAUAAGUCUCGGCUAACUACGUGCCAGCAGCCGCGGUAAAACGUAGGAGGGGAGCGUUAUCCGGAUUUACUGGGCGUAAAGCGCGCGCAGGUGGCUUGACAAGUCGGACAUGAAAGCUCCUGGCUUAACUGGGAGAGGUUGUUCGAAACUGUCGGGCUUGAGGUUGGGAGAGGGACGUGGAAUUCCCGGUGUAGUGGUGGAAUGCGUAGAUAUCGGGAGGAACACCAGUGGCGCAAGCGGCGUCCUGGCCCACACCUGACGCUGAGGUGCGAAAGCGUGGGGAGCAAACAG
rnacentral:rRNA from 1 species